AAAGUCGUAACAAGGUUUCCGUAGGUGAACCUGCGGAAGGAUCAUUAACAAUUGUCCAAUAUUAUGGAUAAUUUAUCCAUAUCCACCUUGUGUGAAUCAUUGAAGUGUUAGUUGUCAGGUUCAAAACACAGUUUUGUUUUUUGGGCGGCAGUUUGGUGAGAUUUAUCACCGGCCGCCAGCGAGGGCGUAUGUUUAAUAUGCUCUUGGCCUGCCAAUUUUUAUUUUCUCAACUCGUCUAAAAUGUAUUUGACUGAAACAUAAUGCAAAUAAUAAAUACAACUUUCAACAACGGAUCUCUUGGCUCUC
rnacentral:misc_RNA from 1 species